GUGCCUCCUCGGAUGGACAGCUGGCACGGCGGAGCCGGACUGCCCGCGCGGGACAACCAGGAAGGAGCCCAGGAAUGGAGUGGCAGACAAAGGGAAACAGAGAGCCGGCGGGCGGGGCGGGGCGCCGAGGCGGGGGAAACAAAGCCCAGCUCGGAGUGGGGGCUGGGCCGGGGCAGGCAGGUCGAGCUGGAGCCUGCCAAGUUCUAGCCUGAGAGUCACGAGUCGGGGCACUGUCGGCGAGAGACGAUGCUCGGGGACAGGACCUAGAGACUGGGUACCAGAGACAAAGAGAUGUAGAAACAGAUAAGAACCGUCAAGUCACCCUAAUGGAAUCAGGGGCCCUAAGAGGCGGAGAGCCUGGAGAGAAACGGGCGGGAGACAGAACAAAGGACGACAGGCGGAGACAAAGGUAGAAAAACAAAGAAAGGCUUUGCAAAGGCCAAGCCCAGGGAGGGACUGAAGAAUAAACCCUGCCUCCAUCUUGCUGGAGUCACGUUCCAAAGGAUCCAGGCCCUAGAAGCAUAACCCCGGCAUCUUAUGUUGUAGGCAGGUUUUCCUUUAUAGAGGUGAGUACCCAGAGGCUUCCGUCCUGCCACUAAAGCGAGUGCUAACGGGGUUUUUAUUAAUUCGUUAUGUUUUAGCAGUACAUAAUGUUAUUUGUAUUAUAUUAGAUUUGUCAAUAAAGCAGAAGUUAGAGAUAAAGUUAAACCAUG